rnacentral:rRNA from 1 species
UGUAUUGUUUAAUUUUUCUUAGUUUUUUAACUAAAAUAGUUUGGCAGUGAGCGAUUCUUAUUAGGGGAAGGUGUGUUGUAAAGGAUGAUCCGCCUAUUAAUUUACUUUUAUUAUGUUGGUGUAUAUCUGGUUUAAUAUUAUUGUUUAAUAACUGAAUUUGUGUAUAUUUAUUUAAGCCAAGUCUAUGUGCUGCUUGUAAAAGAUUUCAUGCGUUACAUUUAUAUUUAUAUUAUGAAAAUUUAAUUUUUAAUUAGGACUUAAAAGUAAUAUAGAAUAAUUUUGUCUAUG